UAAUAUUCCUCUAUCUCCUU
rnacentral:siRNA from 1 species